AAAGCGUGCGCAGGCGGUUUUGUAAGUUUGUCGUGAAAGCCCCGGGCUCAACCUGGGAAUUGCGAUGAAGACUGCAAGGCUUGAAUCUGGCAGAGGGGGGUAGAAUUCCACGUGUAGCAGUGAAAUGCGUAGAGAUGUGGAGGAACACCGAUGGCGAAGGCAGCCCCCUGGGUCAAGAUUGACGCUCAUGCACGAAAGCGUGGGGAGCAAACAGGAUUAGAUACCCCUGU
rnacentral:rRNA from 1 species